rnacentral:rRNA from 1 species
GAUGAACGCUGGCGGCGUGCUUAACACAUGCAAGUCGAACGGGAAACCUUUUAUUGAAGCUUCGGCAGAUUUAGCUGGUUUCUAGUGGCGGACGGGUGAGUAACGCGUGGGUAACCUGCCCUAUACAGGGGGAUAACAACCAGAAAUGGUUGCUAAUACCGCAUAAGCGCACAGGACCGCAUGGUCCGGUGUGAAAAACUCCGGUGGUAUAGGAUGGACCCGCGUUGGAUUAGCCAGUUGGCAGGGUAACGGCCUACCAAAGCGACGAUCCAUAGCCGGCCUGAGAGGGUGAACGGCCACAUUGGGACUGAGACACGGCCCAGACUCCUACGGGAGGCAGCAGUGGGGAAUAUUGCACAAUGGGGGAAACCCUGAUGCAGCGACGCCGCGUGAAGGAAGAAGUAUCUCGGUAUGUAAACUUCUAUCAGCAGGGAAGAUAGUGACGGUACCUGACUAAGAAGCCCCG